UACUUAACUCCGCCUGUAGCUCCUCUUUAGGUUACUGCCGGUUCCAAGUCCGGAUAAAGGAGGAGGGUUGUG
rnacentral:ribozyme from 2 species